rnacentral:misc_RNA from 1 species
UAGCAAGUUUAUUGAGUGUCACUCGUGCCACACGACCCCCCCCACUCAUCCACCUCCAGCCCCCUUUCCUUUUCGCUAGUCUGCUACCCCGAUCGCCUUUUCGUAGUUCACCGGUGCACUCACCUCUCCCCAGCCCCCUUCCCCUCUCUUAGCUCUUCCAGUCACAUCACCACGCGAAGCAGUCCUGCAGGCUUUCCUGUUGUCUCCUUGCUUCGCCGCCUCUCCGCUUUUCUCGCAUUCCCCUUCCAGGCCGCCGUCACGCACAUAGAAAGAUUUGGCCUUGGCCACCUCAACUCCUCCAUCUCCUUUACUCCACCCGACCUGCACUUGCCUCCUCCUCCUCUCUACCCUGCCAUACACGGGGCGGUACGUGUGGGACGCACAACCCCACCCUUUCCUUCUCGCGGGCGCCCCCCCCUCUCUCUCCCUCCCUCCCCCUACUUCUGUUUUACUCAUAUAUCACGGCAUUCCCGUCUGGCGGGCCCACAGACACAGACAGACACAGGCACAAGAGCGGGCACGGAAAAAAAAAACAUAAACGAGGCCUUGUGCCUCAGUGAACUGUUCGCCAGGUUCAUCAUCAAAGGACCUAGUGUCGCAGCCGCAGUGGUAGUAGUGGGACCAUCACCAGCAAGCCCUGAAACCUCCACUUUCCGUUAAUCUAUCUUCUCUUUUACACUGCACCCCGCCGCCCCGCACCGCUCCUUCAACACGUCCGUUUCGCACACGUCCACAAGCGAUACGUACAACAUCAAGAGAGGGGGGGGCACAGAGAGACUGUGGUCGCUGGCGAAGAAACACGUCAACCAUCUUCUUCAGACCCUCUUCACCAUCCCCAUUCCUUCACCUUCCUACCACUCCCCUCUCUCAGGCUCUCAUUGCUCAUUUUCUGUUUUCCACCCUGCUGGCGUGCCACCCUCUCUCUGUCUUCACCGCUCCACCUUUCUUGUGUCUAUUUUACUCUGUCGCUAAAAGUGCCCCUCCCCCUUCCACCCCAAAACUCUCUCAUCAUCGCUUCUCUCUUGCCCUUUGUCUGUCUGUGUCUGCCGGUGUUGCGCUCUUCUCUGUGCCCGCGUCUUCCCCUCCCCCUGUUUUCUGUGUCUUGUUUCCCUUCGCCUCUCUCUUUCCCUCGUUGACACUCAACGCGGGGUGCGUGGGACUCCCUUUUGUGGGCUCUUGUGUGUGGCUUUAUAUGAACGCGCAUACACGCAUCAAGAGUACAAAAAACAUCACUCAAGGCCCUUCACAGGUGCGCCAGUCCCCCUCCCCCUCCCCUCUCUCCCUCUCUUCCAUAUUUUCACAGCUCCUCCCUCUCUUGUCUUUUUUUUUCGUUGCGAGUCAUCUGUGUUGGGGCGUCAUAUUGCAUCUCCGCGUGCGUUUUCUCUUUGGUCUUCCUCUCCCCCCUCACCUUUUUUUGUCGUCCUUGAGCGUACGUCUCGCCAAACAGACACUCAUCCCUCCCCCUUCCUCCCUCCCUCAUCUCUGGCACUCUCCCACCCCACCCCUACCACGCCACACGCACACUCACGCGAAACAGCAAGAGGAGCGCCACAUAGCCGCCUCACCACCCACGGGCCAAGAUCGAUCGAAAUUUUUAUUCUCGGGAGGGUGUGCAGGAGAUACUUAUAAAUAUAUAUAUAUACUAUAUAUAUAUAUAUAUUUAUUUAUUUAUUUUUCACCCCCCCCGCCUCCCCACCCACCGACCCGCGCCACAAAACAAAAAGGCAAAGCACACACACACACACACAUAUAUAUAGCAUAUAUAUAUAUAUACCAUAUAUAUAUAUAUACCAUAUAUAUAUAUAUAUAUUAAUAACAAAGACUCUCUUUGCCCCUCCUCCCUCCACCCCCCCCUCCCUUCCACAUCUUCGCUUUGUUUUUUUUUUCCUGCCAUUCACAUUAUUAUUAUUUUGUUUGCAUUUUUUUUGUUUGUGUGUGUGUGUGUGUGUGUGUGUCACAGGCAGACAUACGCACGCAAACACGCACACACCAGCCCCCACGCGCCGCACGCUCUCCCUCUCUCGUCUUCUUUUGCCUUUUUUCUGUCGUUGUUUGUUUCCUUCGUGGCGUCGUUGAACUAUUUCUGUGCGUGCGUGUGCAACUCCCUUUAGCCGCUUCUCUCUUUGUCUUUCCUUUGCAUUCCCACUGGCCCAUCUUACGCCUCUGCUCCGUCUCUCCCUCUCAUCUUCUUCUUCUCUCUCUCUGUGUGUGUGUGCUUCUGUGUGUAGUUUGCCUCCUACCCUGACCCUUUCCGUCUUUUUUAGCUGUUGUCCGGCCAAAUCUUUCCACUCCUCUUCCUCUUCCCCUGACCGAUCUACCCUAUCAGCAUCCCUUCCUCUCUCCCUUUUUGUUCCUCUUCUUAUCAUCUCCCUCCUUCCCUGCCUGUCUGUCUGUCCUUCGUAACGAAGGCAGUAAAGACGCGGACACAUACAACAAGCUCCAUAUACACACAGGCACACAGGCAGAGAGAGAGAGAGCACGGGCACCGCUGUACUUAUUUUGUACGUCCAUCUGUUGUCAUCUUUGUUUUCCUCAUCUCUUUUUGUUCUCUGUCUCUAUCACUGUGUCUGUGUGUGUGUGUGUGUGUGUGCGUGUGUGUUGGAGGUUUUCUGGCUUGCGCCAGUCUUCCAUCAUCAUACACUCAGCGACACCCGCUCGCACCAGUACCCACCCUCUUCCCAUCGCCUUUCUUUGCUCUGGGUGUCGUUCCCUGUGAGUGUGUGUGUCUCCUAUUUAUCUUCUCCUCUCGCGUACUCUCUCCUCGUUGCCUCUUUCCUCUAUCUUGUAUUGCGUGUGUGUGUGUGUGUGUGUGUGUGUCUGAGUGGCGGAUUGGUGAACUCUGUCCUUUCCCUCUUCUUUCUUUGCUCGUUCCUUCGCCUUGAGAAACACUACUUCCCCCCCCCUCCUCCUCCUCUACCCUCUCCUCCCCCUCCCUUUCGCUGCGCAUUUGUGGCCGGCCACGUCCACCCCUGCGUUCCACAGCAAGAUCCGGCAAGAGCACGAUACCAGAGGCAGCUCGCUUUCUCUUCCCCUCUCUCCCGCGUAUAGGUGUGUGUGUGUGUUUGGUCGCUUAACCUCUUUGAAUUAGUGUUCUUUCUUUAUUGGCGUUGUGCUUGCAGUGGUGGUGGUGGUGGUGGUGUACUCGUGUGUCUGUGAUCCUCCUAUUAACACUUUCUUGUGCUAUAUAUUUCCUCCGUCACACAUAUUCGCGACGUACAGGCGCAUACACAGAGCACGCACACAUUUCUCUGGACUAUCAAUAUAUAUAUAUAUACACUCACAACCGAAGCGAGUGCAGCCUUGUCCAUUUCUUUCGCUUCCACCUCCCUCUCCGUUUUUUUUGUUGUUUUUUCCGGCGAUGUCCGCCAGCUCCGUCCCGCGUGAGGACUCGCAAGAGCCGCAGCGUGUCAGUGUGUCGCCACUAGCAACCCCCAAUAUGUCUCCUGCUGCCACGCAGCCACCGCAGCAGCAACCCGUGAAAGCGGCUGCGAUGAUGACCUCGCCAAUUAUGAACAGCGGUACAACGCCGCGGUUGCUCUUCACGUGGGACCCGUACCGCAACGUGUCUUCCUCGCCCGGCAACACAAGCGCAGUCACUGGCGGGGCUGUUGCUAAGCCGCCGGAGGAGGAGGUGGUAGAAGAAGGACGCCUGGCGUCCAGCAUCGACGGCUGCUCUACAACGUCGUCAGUGAACAACACCAACACUGGCGCCGAAACCUCUGCCGGGGUGAACAGUGCGACUCGUGGCACCAGCAACUCUGUGGCCCCGUCUUCUGUCGCCACCCCCGGCGGUGCACGGCCCCCGCUGACCAUUUCGGCAUUGCUCGGCGGAGCGGGCUACCCCAACCGAGGCUCGCCGCAGCUCUCGGCGACGACGGUGCCGCUGUCUCAGCAACAGCAGAUGCUGCACCAGAGUCCGAACAGCGACGCCUGUGUUGCGCCAGGUUCUUCCCACUCCACUCCGUCUGGUCCGGUGCUGAAGCGCAUCUCCACCUCCGCGAAGGACGGCCGGCAGUACUUCCUGGAUUACUCACCGAGCCCUGCCUCCAACAGUGGCGCCCCUGCUGCUCUUGCCGCUGGUGGCAUGCCCAACUUGAUGCUGCCACCAAACAUGUCACCCAUGACUACCGUAACGUCACCACCUGCGCCAGCGCUGUCGCAGCAGCGGCACCAGCCUCCUGGCGGGAUGGAGUUACUCGACUCGGACGGGAACAGCAGCACCAACAUCAGCCCGCAAGCGGUGCCACUCAUGUCGCCCCCGCGCAGCAGCAGCAGCAACGCAGGCGCUUACCCGAGCUACGGCGCUGUUGCCGCCGCGAAUAGUCACAGCAUCCUCUCAGCUACUCCACUGCCGCCAAUGAGCGGCAUGGCGCAACACAACCCCUACCGCACCCCGUCCAUCUUCUAUGCGACAGCGCACAGCACGUCGCCGGCCACGCAGCAGCAGCAGCAGCAGCAGCAGCAGCAGCACGUGUUGCACCACCAGGACAUCGAUGACAAUGACGCCGAUCUCGUUUACGCCCUCGAGUCGGACCCGUCUGCCUUUAUAGUACGCCUGCUUCCGCCACCGCCGCCGCUGCCCGAGCUGGCGCGCGUGCUCACCGUGCCUGGAGUGGUGCAGUCAUUAUGUGCGCGGUGGUGCACGUACGUUGCUGCGGUACUCAAGUCCGAUGCCUUCGCGGCCAUCACGGCCGCCCCACCACCGCCGCCAUCGUCUGUAACGAUGAGCCGGGAAGGGAGCAACGGCAGCACCAAGGAGGAGCUCGCCGCGUGGUACGAGACGGCGGUGGACUGGUGGGAAAAGCUUGACCAGGAGGGCACCGGGGCUGUAGACGUGCGAGCCAAGUCGCGGACGGUCGCAGCGGCAGUCGAGGUGGUUGCCAGCGGUCGGUCACGUAGGCAGCCGUCGCAAAACACAAGCGGCAGCGCUAACGGGGGACGCUACAACCCACAAGGUGGCUUAGGCGCGAGCGGGUACCGUGGCCGCGGCGGGCGCGGCUAUCACGCCGGCAUGGGCACCUACGGAUACGCCGCCAGCACCACUGGUCAUCGCGGCGGUGCCCAUCCUCGUGGCGGCGCUGCUGCAGCUGCAGCUGCUGUUGGAGGCAUGGCGACGGGCGCUCACAACACAGGCGCCGCCGCGACCGGCUACCGUGGCGGACGGGGCAGUGGUGGUGGUUCGGGCUACAGCUACGACGCCGCCAUGUCGGGAGGUGAUAAUCAGCACGACAUUCCCGACGAGGUGGACCCGGCCAUGCACUGCAACACCGCUUACUACCCGUCCUCGAACUUCAACCCGUACGCGGAGAGUUGGCACUUCAGCGGCACCACUGGCAUGGCGACGGGCGCGCAGCAGCAGCAGCAGCCACAGCAGAUGCAGUCCUCGUACACGAAGGGCGCACGGCCUUCACAGCAACUACAGCAGCAGCAGCGCGGUUAUGGCGCUAUGAACAUGUAACCGAAAUGAAUGUCGAGGCAGAAAAAAAGGAUUUGUCCAAGCGCGGUCGUGAUCAUGCACGCACAUACACACACACACACACACACAGAGACGCGUACAUCUUCAUGCGUGUGCAGAAAGAGUGAGAGGGCGAAAGCUUCUGUGUAUGGAUGUAUAUGCGUAGGCGUAUGAUCAUCUCUCUUUUUUUUUUUUCGGAGGGAUCGUGAUAUCUUGUCUUCGGUUCUCUGGCUCUCGUCUAAUGUCUUUUUACUGCUUUCGUCGUACGCCUUGGUGGUCCCUCUCCCUCUCUUUUCCUUGCUGUUGAAAUGUGUGUGCGCCGGCACGCUUCCCUCCCCGCCUCCUUCCUCGUCCUCUCCACAAAGAAAGGAUCCUCUUUCAGCUAUCUUGUCUGCUCUUUCUCUCUUUUACUUGCUCACGCGCCCCCUAAGAAAGUGUGUCGCAUGUGCGCACACAUGCAAAUGUGUGUAUGCGUGUGUGAGUGUGUGUAUGUGUGUGCGUGCACGUGUUGUUCGAUCACAAUCCUGUGUGACACUUGAGAGAGGAGGAGGCGCGCGUCCAUCGGCGAGGUCACCACUACGGUCAGGAGCACGCACAUGCAUGUUGUUGUUGUUUUGGCGUUUGUUUGGUCUGUUCGUGUCCCACUCUCUCUCUCUCCUUUCUUCAUGCGCUUCGCUUCACUUCUUUUUUUCCGCUUGGUCUCUUCGCGAGUCUGUAUUCUCUCUGUUCACAUGUCGCACUCUCUUCCUCUGUUCCCCGUGUGUGUGUGUGUAUGUAUGUAUGUGUGUUUCUCUCUCGGUGAGCCAGAUGCGCAAGAAUCGAAAAGAGAGCUGUGGUGACGGCGAAGGAUCGGUGUUCGGUCAGCACACCCACACACACGGGGUACACCUAAUGUGGAGUAUGCGCGCGUGACCCCCUUUUACGCUUCCCCCUCUCCCUCUCCCGCGCGCCCUCCAUGGCAUUUACAGUAGAAUCAUCAAAGAUGGAGAAGGAUCGGGGGCGGAGAGGGUGUCGAAGCGGCGACAGUGAACGCAGCGUGUCUUGGCGGACGCUUCUCUCCCUUUUUAAGUGUCCGCACCCCCCCCUCCCUGUUUCUCGCGUUUCUUUAUCUUUUUUUUUGGGAGGCUGUUUUCCCCCUUAUGUAUGUGCGUGUUUGCGUGUGUGUGUGUGUGUGUGUGUGUUCCUUCCUUCUGUUUUGUGUUUCCUUCUUCUUUUCGAUUCCUGCUUUCAUCUUGUAGUGGUUUGAUGGUCCUCUCCCUUGCGCGCUCGGUCUCUCUCUUUCCUUCGUUGAGGUGGUGGUGUUGUUCCUCGGUCUCUGCCCUCCCUGCUGCCUGCGUUCAUCUUUCUCCGUCUGUUUUUUGUGUUCGUUCUAUUAUCUCACUCUCUUCUCUGUCGCUUCGCCCACCCCUCUUCCCUUCUUCGUCUUGUGAGCCUUCUUCUCUCACUUUCUCACUCUUUCUCCCUGAUGUUUUGUGUCUUGCCCUGUUGCCGUUGAAGUAGAUCCUGUGUGUGUGUCACCCUCCUCCUCCCCUCCACCUCGUGUUUAUGCUGUGCGUGUGUGCUGUGCAUGCUUCACCCUUGUCGUCGUUGCUCUUCGCUGUCCUCUGUUUCGCCUUCCCAGCCUCCCACGCCCUCUCCCCACUCCCCUCUCCUCGUUUUGUUGUUGGCGCUAGUCGGAGCAGUGAAUUUUUUUCCUCUCUGGAAGUCAACGGACCACCGUCAGCCGAGACACACAAGCACACACACACACACACACAGAGACAGACAGACAGAUGCGCGCUCGUGAAGGCAACAAACAACCAAAGUACGAAGAGCACCACGCUACGAAAAGAAACAGAGCCGCAUCUCCACCGAACCCCAGGUGCAUGCGAUACCAUGAAAGCGAAAAGAAAAAAUUUUCUUUCUGUGCUGUACUGUUACUUUCUCUUCUGUCUUCAAAGGCCGCAGGACUCGCUCUCUCCCACCCACCCACCCCACCCAACCCCCACGCUAUUUCUCUCUGAGUGUGUGUGCGCCCUGCCCACCACGCGCCGCCCUGCAUCGCGACGUAGGGGAGGUGCCUCUCACCUGCCACUUUUAGUGCGCUCACUACCCCCGGAAGGGGGACAAAGUAC